CACAGCCUAUGGUAUUUCUGGGCUGGCUGAUGAUGGAGUGGUUGGUCACGGCACACAGCUGUGCUGUGGCCUCGGAGAUCAGCUCAAAAGCGUGUCCCUCGGUAUCCUUGGCCAGUGCUGCAGUGUUCCAAGGCCAAAUGAAAGCUGUUGUCCCACUCUCCGAGGCCUCUUCUUCCUCUGACCUAUCUCCACAGGCUCCUUCUCCGUGGCUUCUGCUCAGGGCAGAUCUAUGCUGGAGUAGAAACCUUGACAGCAAACAAGCACCAAGGCCAACAUGUAUAAAGACCGAGAAAUGUUCCAGCCCUGUUUAAGGAGCAGGUCAAGGCAGGCAGACAUGGGCUGGGGCUUUUCCUACCGUGCUCAUCUCAGUUUUAUGCAUCUGUACAGUGACUUGUGUGGUCAAGCGAGGGGAAACUAAAGAAUUAGCCCAGAGACUAAAGCAAUGCAAGGAGCAUUUCUUGGCUUACUUUAUGCCUAGAGGAAGAAGGAGCCUUCCCUACAGCUCUUCACCUCACCAGAAGUAUGGCCAGAUCUGUCAAGUCACUGACAGCUGAACAUGAGGCUCACACAAGCAAGUCCUGCCUCGCUCUCCUCCCUGGAGCUGUCUCUCACACAUCUGCAAUCCAUCAGGGCCUCUCUCCCCCAAGGUGACCCCAUGCGCCAGGCUUGUUUGCUGGAUAUUUGGGAUAACUCUAGGGCUCCAGGAUUUCUUUUUCAGCUAGCAACAUGGGAAGAGACCAUUGAGUGCAAACCUCAGUCUGACACCCUGUGCCCAACAAGUGCAACCCCUCAUGGCACUUGUAUGGCAACCCCACACAAAUGCCAUGACUCCUUUCUCCUGUUCUUACCUGUGUUGCAACAGAAACUGGGAUGAAGAGAGGCUCUGGAGAGUCAGCUAUCACCAGUCCCCUAAAAACAAAACAAACAAAGACCUUUUCUUAGUUGCAGUGACAUGAACAGAGCUUAGUCCCCUGGCCCCUCCAGGAUGUGGCUGAGGUAUAUCAGGGAAGAGCAGCUGUCAGCAUGGAUGUGCCUAAAAUUAGCUCAAAGAGAAGGUUUCCUCUAUUUAUUUAUUUAUUUGCUCAUUAAAAGGCCCCUUCUCAUUAGAUGCAAAUUCAGCACAAAGCCAGUACAAAGGCACUACUAAUGUUUUUCAAUUACACUGAGAGGGAGGUCACAGCACUUUGCAUUUGAAUUUCUGCUUGGUCCUAGAUGUUCUUGGGAUAGAGGCUGUAGCAGUGGGGUGAGCAGUUUGGAUGCUGGGCUGCAGGAAGACUUUUGGAAGAGCUGUACCAGAUGCAUCAGGUUCUGGUGUGCUGGAGACCAGCAUGUCAUUUAUUUGGUGUUACAGGUGCCUCAGGAAGGAAUAAUGAAAAAUGGGUCUCUAACUUUAAUUUAUCUCCUUUCAGAUAUGCCCCCCCGCAAGAGGUUUCUUAUUACACAAAUUCUGCUUUCCUCUGUUUGCCAGCUUUUCCCAACCAUCCAUCUUUCCCACCCUCUGACAACUUUAAGACUCCCUCACAAAUUUCACUCCCUCAAACCGGACGGGAAAGAAGGGGGUGGAGAGGUAUUAAAAAUACCAGAUUCCAGCAAGUUUUUGUCAGAGAGAAGUACCUUCA